ACGGGUGAGUAAUGUCUGGGAAACUGCCUGAUGGAGGGGGAGUAACUACUGGAACGGUAGCUAAUACCGCAUAACGUCGCAAGACCAAAGAGGGGGACCUUCGGGCCUCUUGCCAUCGGAUGUGCCCAGAUGGGAUUAGCUAGUAGGUGGGGUAACGGCUCACCUAGGCGACGAUCCCUAGCUGGUCUGAGAGGAUGACCAGCCACACUGGAACUGAGACACGGUCCAGACUCCUACGGGAGGCCAGCAUG
rnacentral:rRNA from 1 species